GACGAACGCUGGCGGCGUGCUUAACACAUGCAAGUCGAACGAAGUGGCGAACGGGUGAGUAACGCGUAAUCAACCUGCCCUUCAGAGGGGGACAACAGUUGGAAACGACUGAUAAUACCGCAUACUGAAGGAGGGGAUUGCGUCUGAUUAGCUAGUUGGCGGGGUAACGGCCCCCCAAGGCGAGGAUCAGUCGCCGGUCUGAGAGGAUGAACCGCACCAUCUGGACUGAGACACGGCCCAGACUUCUACGGUAGGCAGCAGUGGGGAAUCUUCCGCAAUGGACGCAAGGCUGACGGAGCAACUCCGCGGGAGUGAUGACGGCCCUCGGGUUGUAAAGCUCUGUUAAUCGGGACGCGGUACCGGAAUAGAAAGCCACGGCUAACUACGUGCCAGCAGCCGCGGUAAUUC
rnacentral:rRNA from 1 species